rnacentral:sRNA from 77 species
AUAUCUCUCUGUACGGGAAGGAUGAGAAGCUUCGACUAAGGUUCGAUUCGAGCGAAAGCGAGAAAGCGUUGCCGCAGGCAACGACCCGAAGGGCGAAGCGCGCAGCGCUGAGUCAUCCUUCCCCCACCACCA